rnacentral:rRNA from 1 species
AGAGUUUGAUCCUGGCUCAGAUUGAACGCUGGCGGCAUGCCUUACACAUGCAAGUCGAACGGUAACGGGCCUUCGGGUGCCGACGAGUGGCGAACGGGUGAGUAAUGUAUCGGAACGUACCUUUCAGUGGGGGAUAACGUAGCGAAAGUUACGCUAAUACCGCAUAUUCUGUGAGCAGGAAAGCAGGGGAUCGCAAGACCUUGCGCUGAUUGAGCGGCCGAUAUCAGAUUAGCUAGUUGGUGAGGUAAAGGCUCACCAAGGCGACGAUCUGUAGCGGGUCUGAGAGGAUGAUCCGCCACAUUGGAACUUAGACACGGUCCAGACUCCUACGGGAGGCAGCAGUGAGGAAUAUUGCGCAAUGGGCGAAAGCCUGACGCAGCGACGCCGCGUGGAGGAUGAAGGCCUUCGGGUUGUAAACUUCUGUUGAACGGGAAAAAAUGCACAAGUUUAAUAGACUUGUGAGAUGAUUGUACUGUUAAAGAAAGCACCGGCUAACUUCGUGCCAGCAGCCGCGGUAAUACGAAGGGUGCGAGCGUUAUUCGGAAUCAUUGGGCGUAAAGGGUGCGCAGGCGGUGCAUUAAGUCAACUGUUUAAUUCUUCGGCUUAACCGAAGGUCAGCGGUAGAUACUGGUGCACUAGAGUGUGGAAGAGAGAAGUGGAAUUCUCGGAGUAGCGGUAAAAUGCGUAGAUCUCGAGAGGAACACCGAUGGCGAAAGCAGCUUCUUGGUCCAUUACUGACGCUCAUGCACGAAAGCGUGGGGAGCAAACAGGAUUAGAUACCCUGGUAGUCC